UCCCGUUCCCGUUUCCACCAAAAAGUCCGCGGCAAAGAGAAUAUAAAUAAAUCUGUAUGUUGGAUGGAAAAACAAUUAAUUAAAAAUGACUACUAUUUAGGCCGGCAAAUGCAACAACUUUUUUUUGAUUUGGUUUUCCCCGAAGGGUAAGGCAAAGGGAACUAUGCCCAUACAGCCAUUUCAUUUUAUGUAUUGAUUUUUUAUUAUAAUAUAUGUCCUCUUUUAAAACACGGUACUUACCCAUUAUUUAAAAAUGUUUAAAUAAUAUGCGUUAAAACAAAAAUAUUUUUCCAAUAUUCCUUUUCUCAGAUUGUAGUAUUUUUAGUUUUUUAUUUAUAUUUAUUCUCUUCAUACAAAAUCUCUUUAUAAAUUGUCACUGACAUUCUAUUACACUUGUCAAGUAGUCAAAGCCUUUAGAGAAAAAAAAAACUAUCACGCACACAAACUAACAUUGACACCUCUACACGCUCAGCAAAUACACUGUAAUCUGCACCACUACAAAUGUAGAAUUGAUCAAAAUUGAGGGUCUGAAAUAUGGUACUUCUCGUAUUCGGACCCUAAAUUUUUGUUAGUUUGCGAAAAUCAUACACCAAAAUAUUACUAUUUAUCGGUUUUAUAACAAUAUUCCUCUAUCCGUUUUCCUGUAGCACUGCAUCAACUUUUGUAUGGAAAACGAAUCACCUUAACAACAGAGCUGCUGUCCUUUACUUACGAUAAGUGAAAGAAAGAGAUAGAGUUAGUUCUGGAACUGACAAAGUAAAUUAAGUUCGUGUCUUUCAGAAUCGACUCCAUUAAAGUGAAGCCAUAUUUGUCAGCACCUCAUAAAACUUUCCUAUACUUCUAUCCUUUUCUGUUACUCAGAGCUCUCUCGCUCUAGCAAAUGACGGUUCUGAGUACCAGACAAGAAUAGAAACAUAGGAAAGUGCUGUGAGGUGUGCCAGAUGUGGUUUCGCAGGAAAGAUUAUUUUUGUUCCCGCUUUUUCUUCGUUUUACGUUCCUUCACGCAUUAGUUCUUCACAUUUUAGUCUUAUCGUGUGAAAAGGCGUAAAUUUGUACUUCCAAAUGCAUUUUUUACACGAAAUUCAUCUUUGAAAUCAGUUACAUAUCGUAUAAAUGAUAUGGGCUGGUGGCUUUUGAACCCUACAAAUUAGUAUUAAGUUAAUAUAGGUUCUAUAUUGUGUAUCAUUUUAUAAUAUUUUAAAUGUGUUUUUGUAAUAUUUGUAUCAAUUUAUGUUUAUUACAGACUGCUUUGACUUUAUGACUUUAAAAUUAGAUAUUAAUUAUUAGUUCGUGACUAACUUGAAUUGUGUGAAAUUAUUAGUUAGUUUAGUUUCCGUCCAAAAAUGAUCUUUCUUUACUUAUUUUAUGUAAUUGUGAUUAGUUUUUUUGAUGAAUCAUGAGAGGUUUUUUUAAAGAGCAUCUUGAAAUCAAGCCAUUAUAUUUAGGUCACAGUCCUUUUCGAGUUGUGGUAAGCUUGUGUUACUUUGUAAGUAUUAUUAUCACAGUUGCUUUUCUUUAAAAAAAAACAUAUAGAUUGCAUAAUCGUGACUCUUGCGAUCCUUAAGCGCUUUCAUAGGACACCAGUAUGCUAAUACCAGUACACACAAUUUUAUUUUAAAUUAUAUCUGUCAUUUUCUUAUCCGCCGAAAAGGAAAGGGACGGGUAAUCGACUGCCAUAAACUUUAUGGUACACACGUCAAUUUUAGUCAGGAAUUUAAAACACCCUCCCUAAAUUUUAUAUUGGCCAAAAACCCGACAGAAUUAAGUUGACAGGACACACGUCAAACAGGUUGCAUAUCAGAGAAAUGCAUUAUUUAUUCGUCCGGGUUAUUCGUUCAUUUUAAAAUUAACAGUUGUCAAUUUGUCCCUUUCAUUUUCGCCGGAUAAGAAAAUGACGGGUAUAACUUAAAAUAAAAUUAGGAGGUGUCUACAGGAAUCGGGGUCACUAUAUUACAAAUUAUAAAAAAAAACAACUGUGGUAAAAAUAUCAGAUGUGACGUGUUAAAUAACACCAUGAAAAAAAUAAUAAUACAUUUUUUAUGUUAUUAGGUAUCUGAAUUGUUAUUCGGUCGCAAUAUGCACAUUAUUUUGAACACUAUAAAAACUCCUUGUGACUAAUGCAUAGCAAUUACAUUCUUAUGCUUCAUUGCUAUUAUUUUCAAUGUCCUUACAUAAAUAUUGUAACGAUGCUUGUGUCUUUCUAUAGACUAUAAUAUUAGACCAGUAUCUGACCCCAUUUCUUUUUUAUUUCUAUGUUACAUCACAGCGAAUUCUUUUCAGGGACAAAUAUAAAGACAUGAAUUAUCCGUCAACUGUAAAAAAAUGUAUUAAGUAUUGUACUUAUCUACCUAUUAUCUGUUUUCUUUGAAUGUUCCUUGUGUCGGUUUUAUUGUGUACAAAUAAAUAAAUAAAUAAUAAUACACAACUUCGGUCACAAGCUCUCACUAAGAAAUACAUGUGAUAAAAACAUCGGCUUAGAUAAUACCACGGAAUGGAAGAAAGAAAAGAAAGCCCCUUACGCGCAUUUUGUAUGAGACCCUCUGUCGCCGGUUCAACUCCACUCUCUUUUACUACCACUCCUGCAAACAGAUAACUUUGAUAGAAUAGAAUUGACAUAGUUUAUUAUAAAAGGACACACAAAACAAGACAAUACAUCAUUUAAAAUUCUCACAAAACAAUUACAAAAAAGCAAAACGAAUGUCCGUCGAAAUGAUCAUAAGGUGGUGGUGGACGUCCUGAGAAAAAAGACCUCACUCAGCACAAGUCGCGGCGUGAACCACGACGCUGGUAUUAUAUGGACCCUGCUGGGUUAGGCACUCUUAACUCUACUGUUUCUCAAAAUCCAUUGCCACUUUACCGGGAAUGUAUAUGUUAAGUGAUAGGCUGCAAUUUUAUCAUUACUUGUCGUAACAUACUGUAUGCAAAAGUAUUUUUUCGACAAUUAGCCGAUAUUAUUAAGGUUUUAGCUUUCCUGUGAUAAGGAUGGGAUCUCCUUGCGUGAUAGUCGAUAUUUGUUUUAUUUACCUGCAGGUUAUAAUGCACUAGACAACUUUUUAAUGUACAGUCAUGAGCAAGUCAUGUACCCAUUUUAGAACCCUGUCGCGCUAUCAUAUUUGAUAUUUAAUGAGAGUUACGGUUUAAUUUGUCAAAAAAGUUAAUGUGACAUGGUUUCAAAGUGUAUACAAUAUUAGUACUCGUGACCGUCCUAUCGUGGAGCUCCGCGUGUCGUAAAUUUGCGUACGAGGAGAGUAAAAGUUGACGCAUGGACUGUUUGCUCAUACUUGUAUGGCGCGCUUUUUGCGUCCCUUCCAAUCUCUUUCCUCUAUUCCGUGGAUAAUACAAUGGUGUUAUUUACCGUCAUAGUUUCGUUUGUCAUACGGUAAGGUGCGGUGCCUUAUGUAGGAGCGAGGCACGUAUUGUAGUUCACAGACACGUAGUGUGUUGAUAUUAGAGUUUUUAUUUUACUACUUCGAUAUCACGAAUAAAUUUUCCACAAAUACAUUA